UCUUAGUGGCGGACGGGUGAGUAACGCGUGGGGAACCUGCCCUGUACAGGGGGAUAACACUUAGAAAUAGGUGCUAAAACCGCAUAAGCGCACAGCUUCGCAUGAAGCGGUGUGAAAAACUCCGGUGGUGUAAGAUGGACCCGCGUCUGAUUAGCUUGUUGGCGGGGUAACGGCCCACCAAGGCGACGAUCAGUAGCCGGCCUGAGAGGGCGGACGGCCACAUUGGGACUGAGACACGGCCCAGACUCCUACGGAAGGCAGCAG
rnacentral:rRNA from 1 species